rnacentral:tRNA from 1 species
GGCGAGAUGGCCGAGCGGUCUAAGGCGCUGUGUUAAGGUUGUUCCACUCCCUCUUCUCAAUUUCGUGAAGAAGAUGUGUCAAUCCGCAGUCUUCGGACGUGGGUUCGAAUCCCACUCUCGUCA